GUUAGUUUAUUUUUCAGUUUGCCUCUGACAUUAUUUCAGCUGCAGUUGACAGUUUAAGACCUGUUCUCACUUAUGUUAAGGCUGUAGAACAGGACUGUAACAGAAAAAAAAAAAUUAAUAUACAGUAUAGUCAUAAUAUAGCACAGUGUAAAAACGUUUGGAAAAAAUGUCAAAAUAGGCAUUAAAAAAUUUUAAAUUUAGAAAGUGUAGAAAGGCAUAACAAUGUCAAAAGAUGUCAUAGUAUAGUAAGGCAUGAAAAAUGCUCUGAAAAGGUUACAGUAUAGUAAGGCAUGAAAAAUGGUUUAAAAAUGUCAUAGUAUAGUAAGGCUUCCAAAACUGUCAAAAAAAUUGUCAUAAUAUAGUAAGGUUUGAAAAAUGGUCCAAAAAAAUCUCAUAGUAUAGUAAGGCUUUUGUCAAACAAUGUCAUAGUAUAAUUAAGCUUUAAAAAACAUCGAAAAAUGUCAUAGGGUAUUAAGGCAUGAAAAAUAGUCAAAAAGUCAUAGUAUAGUAAAGCUUCAAAAAUGGUCUAAAAAUGUCAUAGUAUAGUAAGGCAGUAAAACGGACAAAAAAUGUCAUAGUGUAGUAAGGCUUCCAAAACUGUUAAAAAAAAUGACAUUAAGGUGUCAAAAGUGGUGAAAAAAAACUCAUAGCAUAGUAAGGCUUCAAAAAUGGUCUAAAAAGUCAUAGUAUACUAAGGCUUCAAAAAUGGUGAAAAAAUGUCAUAGUAUAGGAAGGCUUCCAAAACUGUCAAAAAAUGUCAUAGUAUAGUAAGGCAUGAAAAAUGGUCAAAAAAGUCAUAGUAUAGUAAAGCUUCCCAAAUGGUCUAAUAAUGUCAUAGUAUAAUAAGGCUUCCCAAAUGGUCUAAAAAUGUCAUAGCAUAGUAAGGCAUGAAAAAUGGUCAAAAAGUCAUAGUAUAGUAAAGCUUCAAAAAUGAUCUAAAAAUGUCAUAGUAUAGUAAGGCUUCCAAAACUGACAAAAAAUGUCAUAGUAUUGUAAAGCUUCAAAAAUGGUGAAAAAAGUCAUAGUAUAGUAAGGCAUCAAAAUGGUCUAAAAGUCAUAGUAUACUAAGGCUUCCAAAACUGACAAAAAAUGUUAUAGUAUAGUAAGGAAUGAAAAAUGGUCAAAAAAAGUCAUAGUAUAGUAAGGAAUGAAAAAUGGUCAAAAAAAAAGUCAUAGUAUAGUAAGGCUUCAAAAAUCAUCAAAAAAAGUCAUAGUAUAGUAAGUCUUCAAAAAUGGUCAAAAAAGUCAUAGUAUAAUAAGGCUUCCAAAACCAUUUUAAAAAGUCAUAGUAUAAUAAGGCAUGAAAAAUAGUCAAAAAAAGUCAUAGUAUAGUAAGGAAUGAAAAAUGGUCAAAAAAAGUCAUAGUAUAGUAAGGCAUGAAAAAUGGUCAAAAAAAGUCAUAGUAUAGUAAGGCUUCCAAAACCAUCAAAAAAGUCAUAGUAUAGUAAGGCGUCAAAAACGGUCAAAAAAUGUCAUAGUAUAGUAAGGUGUCCAAAACCAUCAAAAAAGUCAUAGUAAAGUAAGGCAUGAGAAAUGGUCAAAAAAGUCAUAGUAUAGUAAGGCUUCCAAAACCAUUAAAAAAGUCAUAGUAUAGUAAGGCUUCAAAAAUCAACCAAAAAAGCCAUAGUAUAGUAAGGCAUGAAGAAUGGUCAAAAAAAGUCAUAGUACAUUAAGGAAUGAAAAAUGGUCAAAAAAAGUCAUAGUAUAGUAAGACUUCAAAAAUCAUCAAAAAAAGUCAUAGUAUAGUAAGGCUUCAAAAAAGGUCAAAAAAAGUCAUAGUAUAGUAAGGCAUGAAAAGUGGUCAAAAAAUGUCAUAGUACAGUAAGGCAUGAGAAAUGGUCAAAAAAAGUCAUAGUAUGGUAAGGCUUCCAAAACCAUUAAAAAAAAGUCAUAGUAAAGUAAGGCAUGAUAAAUGGUCAAAAAUGUCAUAGUAUAGUAAGGCUUCCAAAACUGUCAAAAAGUCAUAGUAUAGUAAGGCAGUAAAACUGACAAAAAAAUCAUAGUAUAGUAAAGCUUCCAAAACCAUUAAAAAAGUCAUAGUAUAGUAAGGCGUCAAAAACGGUCAAAAAAUGUCAUAGUAUAGUAAGGUGUCCAAAACCAUCAAAAAAGUCAUAGUAAAGUAAGGCAUGAGAAAUGAUCAAAAAAGUCAUAGUAUAGUAAGGCUUCCAAAACCAUUUAAAAAGUCAUAGUAUAGUAAGGCUUCAAAAAUCAUCAAAAAAAGUCAUAGUAUAGUAAGGAAUGAAAAAUGGUCAAAAAAAGUCAUAGUAUAGUAAAGCUUCAAAAAUCAUCAAAAAAAGUCAUAGUAUAGUAAGGCAUGAGAAAUGGUCAAAAAAAAGUCAUAGUAUAGUAAGGCAUGAGAAAUGGUCAAAAAAAGUCAUAUUAUAGUAAGGCAUGAGAAAUGGUCAAAAAAAGUCAUAGUAUAGUAAGGCAUGAGAAAUGGUCAAAAAAGUCAUAGUAUAGUAAGGCUUCCAAAACCAUCAAAAAAGUCAUAGUAAAGUAAGGCAUGAGAAAUGGUCAAAAAAGUCAUAGUAUAGUAAGGCUUCCAAAACCAUUAAAAAAGUCAUAGUAUAGUAAGGCUUCAAAAAUCAACAAAAAAAGCCAUAGUAUAGU